AAGUUGGGGAGGAAAGGAUUUAUUCAGCUUACACUUUCCACAUUGCUGUUCAUCACCAAAGGAAGUCAGGACUGGAAUUCAAGCAGGUCAGGAAGCAGGAGCUGAUGCAGAGGCCAUGGAGGGAUGUUCUUUACUGGCUUUCUUCCCCUGGCUUGCUCAGCUUGCUUUCUUAUACAACCCAGGACUACCAGCCCAGGGAUGGCACCACUCACAGUGGGCCCUCUCCCUUGAUCACUUAUUGAUCCUUACAGCUGGAUCUCAUGGAGGCAUUUCCUCAAGGGAGGCUCCUUUGUCUGUGAUAACUCCAGCUUGGGUCAAGUGGACACACAAAACCAGUCAGUACCGAGAGUGAUUUCUGCCUCACAGUCAAGGUCAUCACUGAGUAGGUCUUAGCUAUGGAGUUAUAGAGGGAGGUUUGGUAUAGAACUGUGACUGGGGUGGGGAUGGUGUGCAGAGGGAGAAGAGCACCCGUGUGAUAUCGCAAAUGAUGACAUAAGUAAUGGACCUGUAGCAAGAGAAUGGCUGUCGGGAUGGGGGAAGAGGGGGAAGGACCAAGAACAUGAAUAGAUAGAAUGAACUCAUAUGGAAGAUAUCACUGCACGUUGGGUGGCAGGCACUGGACUUUCAGAUUAAAACCGCAGAAGGUUGGAGAUGUCCACUUUCUGCCGAGUCUUACCUGCUUCUCCUUUAUGCUGUGCUGGCCUGAUUUCCCUCGGAGCUGCUUCAUUACCAUUUACUCUCAUCUCCUGAUCUAGCCAGAUAAUCAAGCACAGAGAUACAAAUCAACUCAGUCCCCAUCUUCCUGCACCCCCUCCCCAUCUCUUCUCCAACUGAUGCAUAGCUGCACCUAGCACCACUGCUUGCCAAGGCCUUAGAGUGCAAAGUCUUCUGGCCCAAGGCUGAGGUCCCUUC
rnacentral:lncRNA from 1 species